rnacentral:rRNA from 1 species
UACGUAGGGUGCGAGCGUUGUCCGGAAUUAUUGGGCGUAAAGGGCUCGUAGGCGGUUUGUCGCGUCGGGAGUGAAAACACUGGGCUUAACUCAGUGCUUGCUUUCGAUACGGGCAGACUAGAGGUAUGCAGGGGAGAACGGAAUUUCCGGUGGAGCGGUGAAAUGCGUUGAUAUCGGAAGGAACUCCGGCGGCGAAAGCGAUGCACUGGCUGGUUUCUGACGCUGAGGUGCGAAAGCCAGGGGAGCAAACGGG